rnacentral:lncRNA from 1 species
GCUGAGCACGCCGGGACGGGCCGUCCGCCGCGCUGACCCCGGGGCUGGACACCCGACCUCCUGGGGUCCCUUCACGGCUCCCCCUCCCGGGAGCCCCAGCCGGCAGACCUGCAGCUGGAGCGGGAAUGAGGAUCGGGCCCGGACCCCAGAGUUGGGCCCCGGCCAGGAGAGUUUUCUUUGUAGCCCUGCGGGGGCGGGCGGUCCCAGCCCCCAGGCCCGUGACUUCGCGGUUGGGCCGGACCUGCCUGCUGAGGUGUGCCUAGCGGGACAUCCCAGCACUGUAAAAGUCCGGACGGAACACUUGCAGCUCAGUGCAGAGAGAGAAAGGUUGCGAUCAUACUCCUGCUCCGCUCUGGCUGGGAUGCUGAGAGCCAACAGGAUCGAAGUGGUUUUAACCAAAAAUGGUUCUAAUCAGCCUAACUGAAGAGAAUGGUUUGGGGAGCGUGCCUUCUUCACAGCCAGGGUUUUGUGGGCCUUCAUAAGUUCUGCAGCAGCAGAGGAAGCUGGAUCACUUAUUUCAAUACAAGUUUUGCUUCUGAAAGACAUGGUCUGAAAUCUUAGAAUGGUUAAAGAGUUUUUCCGGGUAAGUGGGCGUUUGCAUUGGCCAGCCUUGGAUUCUGUGGUAGUGCCCUCAUAGGCAAUAGCAGUGAUUCUACAUGUGCCUGUGACAGACUGACAAAUUUAGUUUCCAACACCAGUUAGAUUCUUUGCUGCACCAACAAGGCAGGUUAAUAAGGUUAAAAAGUGUGCAGUGCCGCCAGGAAGGAACCCCUGUGACACCCAGGCUUUGUUAGGCUUUUUGGCCACUUCUGUUUGAAUCAUUGCAAGCCAGAACUUAUCCCUAAACCCUAUUGGUGCGUACAUUAGACUCUGGCAAGACUGGAGCCUUGUUGUUUAUUUUUGCUCUUUUUAAAAACUGUAAAUGUAGUGCGAGACCCAAGUUCAAAAUGUGAUGGCAUUAAAGUAUACAUGUCACUUUUGCUUUCCUCCUCUUUGGAUUCUAAAAGCAAUUGCAUUUCUUAAUCCAAAUAAAACCUAUUGAGUGUCAUGAAGGUAUGCAGCUGGAAGAUAUCCAUUAUCAUUGUUUUCUUUGCUGGGAUGAAAAGCCAGGGCCGUUCAGAUGCCAGAUUCUAAAACUCACUCAGCUGCAGGACACGGCUCGGAGGAGGUGCCCAGGGACGCGGGGACGGCAGCCUCUGCUGGUGGAAGUGUCUGGUGGUACACCGUGGAGCUGACACCCAGCGAGCUGUCUUCUCUCAAGCACUGUUUACUUUUGUAGAACUCAUUGACUUUUCGGAGAGGUGGAGAUUUUUUCAACACUUCCUUUUCCUUCAAGCUUUUUCUGUCAAAACUUUAAAAAACUGCAUAGAGACCAAGUGAAUGCUUAACCAACAGAAUUCGAGAAAACAUAGCAAUGGGGCAAAGCAGAAAUCUUUUGAGAUACCCCUUUACCAAAGACAGCUUUUGUAACCAAGAAAACAUUGUCUUCUCUGCACCUUUUUUUCCCUUGUCGUCAUAAAAAGAAAAUGAAAUCUUGAAAAGGAACAUGACUCAUUUCUACGCAGCAGGGGGCAAGGCCUGAAGCAGAUGUUUGUAUUCUCGGCUUAACUCCCUGGGCUGGCUUCAGAAGUGUGGCCGAGGGGUUCUCUGGGGGCCUGUGCAUUCUUCCCCUAGAUGAGAAAAGAACUAAAUAUAGGUGGGCGAUAUGACUAAUCGUGUUCUGUGGAGGGACCCAACAAUGACACCUCGAUAUAAUCAAUCAGAGUAAAGCGUACGGCGUUUCAGAGUGGAAUUGGGAAAUGAGGCAUCGGUGGUAUGGUUGGCAGGAGGCCAAGGGCGCAAGGCCGGGUCUCAGGAGGCAGCCUUCGCCUGGGCCCAGCAGCAGAGACUGACCUGGGGGAGCCCCUACAGGGUCAGAUCGUCUGGUACAGAUCGUUGCUUAGAGCUCUCCGAUUUGGGGAUGGAUUAUUCCG